rnacentral:tRNA from 2 species
GCCCCCAUAGCUCAAGGGAUAGAGCAGCAGCCUUCUAAGCUGAGAGUUCCAGGUUCAAAUCCUGGUGGGGGCG